rnacentral:rRNA from 1 species
GACGAACGCUGGCGGCGUGCUUAACACAUGCAAGUCGAACGGAAAGGCCCUGCUUUUGUGGGGUGCUCGAGUGCCGAACGGGUGAGUAACACGUGAGUAACCUGCCCCUGACUUUGGGAUAACUUCAGGAAACUGGGGCUAAUACCGGAUAGGAGCUCCUGCUGCAUGGUGGGGGUUGGAAAGUUUCGGCUGUUGUGGAUGGACUCGAUGCUUAUCAGCCUGUUGGUGGGGUAGUGGCUUACCAAGGUUUUGACGGGUAGCCGGCCUGAGAGGGUGACCGGCCACAAUGGGACUGAGAUACGGCCCAGACUCCUACGGGCGGCAGCAGUGGGGAAUAUUGCACAAUGGGCGGACGCCUGAUGCAGCAACGCCGCGUGCGGAAUGACGGCCUUCGGGUUGUAAACCGCUUUCGCCUGUGACGAAGCGUGAGUGACGGUAAUGGGUAAAGAAGCACCGGCUAACUACGUG